rnacentral:rRNA from 1 species
CGCCGGCGGUUCCCCCGGUGUGUUGUGAGAAGUUCAUUAAACCUUAUCAUUUAGAGGAAGGAGAAGUCGUAACMARGUUUCCGUAGGUGAACCUGCGGAAGGAUCAUUG